GACGAACGCUGGCGGCGUGCUUAACACAUGCAAGUCGAACGGAAAGGCCCUGCUUUUGUGGGGUGCUCGAGUGGCGAACGGGUGAGUAACACGUGAGUAACCUGCCCUUGACUUUGGGAUAACUUCAGGAAACUGGGGCUAAUACCGGAUAGGAGCUCCUGCUGCAUGGUGGGGGUUGGAAAGUUUCGGCGGUUGGGGAUGGACUCGCGGCUUAUCAGCUUGUUGGUGGGGUAGUGGCUUACCAAGGCUUUGACGGGUAGCCGGCCUGAGAGGGUGACCGGCCACAUUGGGACUGAGAUACGGCCCGGACUCCUACGGGAGGCAGCAGUGGGGAAUAUUGCACCAUGGGCGGAAGCCUGAUGCAGCAACGCCGCGUGCGGGAUGACGGCCUUCGGGUUGUAAACCGCUUUCGCCUGUGACGAAGCGUGAGUGACGGUAAUGGGUAAAGAAGCACCGGCUAACUACGUG
rnacentral:rRNA from 1 species